rnacentral:rRNA from 1 species
UACGUAGGUGGCAAGCGUUACUCGGAAUCACUAGGCGUAAAGCGCAGGUAGGCGGUUCGGUAAGUCUCUUGUGAAAGCUCCCGGCUCAACUGGGAGAGGUCAAGGGAAACUACCGGGCUAGAGUGUGGCAGAGGAAGCUGGAAUUCCCGGUGUAGCGGUGAAAUGCGUAGAGAUCGGGAGGAAUACCUAUGGCGAAGGCAGCACUCUGGGACGUGACUGACGCUGAGACGCGAAAGCGUGGGGAGCAAACAGG